UAAAAGUCAAGUACUUACAAGUACUGUUUGC
rnacentral:piRNA from 1 species